rnacentral:rRNA from 1 species
AACCUUAGCCGGGGGAUCACUUGGCUCAUGGGUCGAUGAAGACCGCAGCUAAUUGCGCGUCGUUAUGUGAACCGCAGGACACAUGAACAUCGACAUGUUGAACGCGUAUUGCGCUCUAUACGU